rnacentral:rRNA from 1 species
CCUACGGGCGGCAGCAGUGGGGAAUAUUGGACAAUGGGGGCAACCCUGAUCCAGCCAUGCCGCGUGUGUGAAGAAGGCCCUCGGGUUGUAAAGCACUUUCAGUGAGGAAGAACGCCUGGUGGUUAAUACCCAUCAGGAAAGACAUCACUCACAGAAGAAGCACCGGCUAACUCCGUGCCAGCAGCCGCGGUAAUACGGAGGGUGCGAGCGUUAAUCGGAAUUACUGGGCGUAAAGCGCGCGUAGGUGGCUUGAUAAGCCGGUUGUGAAAGCCCCGGGCUCAACCUGGGAACGGCAUCCGGAGCUGUCAAGCUAGAGUGCAGGAGAGGAAGGUAGAAUUCCCGGUGUAGCGGUGAAAUGCGUAGAGAUCGGGAGGAAUACCAGUGGCGAAGGCGGCCUUCUGGACUGACACUGACACUGAGGUGCGAAAGCGUGGGUAGCAAACAGGAUUAGAUACCCCUGUAGUC